UCCGUAGACCCUGCUCUCGCGAACCUCACGCAGCCGCUGCCGUCGUCAGACAGCCCCUCGUCGGAGCUCUUCUCGACGCCGCGUAUUUGAGUGAAAACCAGGUAUGAUCAUAUUAUUAAAACUGAUAUCAUGUUAUUAGUUUUAUACAUUUACUUUGAAAUUUAAUAUGUCACAGGACGCUUUGACUAUGCCCCCGACUCUUCUUGCUAGAAGAGCUUAUACACCGCCCUAGGGCUAUGAAAAUGUAGAGGGAAAUGACAAAAAAGUGGAGAAAAAUAAUGAAUUGGUCGCGGCGGUGGAAGCUUCUCAAAACGAGGUCUUGGCCCGUGUCAGUCAGUCUCAAGGUACAGAGGACACUCCUGUAGAGCCUAACCGCAUGACUAGAGACGAGUGGAUGGAAGUCAUCGACGGAGCUUACGGUUUACAACUAAGAAAGAAAGGAAGAGUUCCUUUGUCAAGUGCUGGAGCUAAGAAAUUCACCACCACCAAUAAGCCUAGCAGCCAAUCUGUGACCUCGACGCGACCAUGCGACACAUCAUACGUCGUGGGUAAGAUUGGUCAAUACUUGUUGAAGAAUGUUGAAGCCUAUUUGGUUUUAAGUUUUUUCCCACUAUUAAACACGAGUUAGACGGUGCACAAACGACCUGGGAUGUCGUUCAGCGACUCAUCGAUUCUCAACCCUUAAAGGACUUGCUUCCGCAGCCUAUAUACAUGGAUAUCAUGGGGAUGACAUUUAAUGAGCAUGCAGCUAUAAGUGGUGGAGAUGCUAGAGGAGGUACUGUAGGAAGCAGCGGUACGAUACGACAUUUUGAUGCAGCCGCUGCCGACGAUAGGGAUCACGAUGAUAGGGACCAAGAUGACUACGAUGAAUGAGUAGUGAGUUAGACUUUUUUUGUUACUUUUGUCAACUUUUGGAUUGUGUUGAGCAUAUAAUGACCUCCGGAUUAUAUAUAUAUAUGUGAAGUUAUACUUUUUUGUUA